UGGGAAAAGCCCAUCGGGGACCUGGUGGCCCCGUGGGGGUGGCACCAAUGGAAAACAAUCGGAGCUUCCCAGAGGAGCUGUUUGCAGACAACGCUGCAAAACCGCUUCCCCGCACCGCUCCUUGUAGCCAGCAAAUGUAAGGGCAGCCUAAAGCCAGAGGGCUGGGAUAAAAGUUGGAUUUCUCACUGUCCAGAGAAUGCUGCAGGUCCCCAAGCACAGGAUCGCCUUCAUUUCCUGCAGGACUGCAUCCCCUCACCUGCUCCUCCAAGGACAAGCUCCCCUCAGCCCCGCCAGUCACUGGAUCCCUCAGAAAACUCUGAGACAAGCUUCCCUCAUCCUCCCCAGCACAGGCUCCCCUCAGCCCCCCAAACACGGGAUCUCCAAGACUGGAUCCCUUCAGCUCCCUCCGGCCAAGCCCCCUCCAGCCCCUCCUCAGCGGGCACAGCCGGGGGAGCCGGGGUGCAGCAGCAGCCUCCGUUCCCCCGCCCCUCUCGCCCUGCCUGCUGC